rnacentral:rRNA from 1 species
AGUGAACGCUGGCGGUAGGCCUAACACAUGCAAGUCGAACGGCAGCACAGUAAGAGCUUGCUCUUACGGGUGGCGAGUGGCGGACGGGUGAGGAAUACAUCGGAAUCUACUUUUUCGUGGGGGAUAACGUAGGGAAACUUACGCUAAUACCGCAUACGACCUACGGGUGAAAGCAGGGGAUCUUCGGACCUUGCCCGAUUGAAUGAGCCGAUGUCGGAUUAGCUAGUUGGAGGGGUAAAGGCCCACCAAGGCGACGAUCCGUAGCUGGUCUGAGAGGAUGAUCAGCCACACUGGAACUGAGACACGGUCCAGACUCCUACGGGAGGCAGCAGUGGGGAAUAUUGGACAAUGGGCGCAAGCCUGAUCCAGCCAUACCGCGUGUGUGAAGAAGGCCUUCGGGUUGUAAAGCCCUUUUGUUGGGAAAGAAAAGCAGCAGGUUAAUACCCCGCUGUUCUGACGGUACCCAAAGAAUAAGCACCGGCUAACUUCGUG